UGGGGAAUUUUGGACAAUGGGCGAAAGCCUGAUCCAGCAAUGCCGCGUGUGUGAAGAAGGCCUUCGGGUUGUAAAGCACUUUUGUCCGGAAAGAGAUCCUUGGCUCUAAUACAGUCGGGGGAUGACGGUACCGGAAGAAUAAGCACCGGCUAACUACGUGCCAGCAGCCGCGGUAAUACGUAGGGUGCAAGCGUUAAUCAGAAUUACUGGGCGUAAAGCGUGCGCAGGCGGUUUGCUAAGACCGAUGUGAAAUCCCCGGGCUCAACCUGGGAACUGCAUUGGUGACUGGCAGGCUAGAGUAUGGCAGAGGGGGGUAGAAUUCCACGUGUAGCAGGUGAAAUGCGUAGAGAUGUGGAGGAAUACCGAUGGCGAAGGCAGCCCCCUGGGCCAAUACUGACGCUCAUGCACGAAAGCGUGGGGAGCAAACAGGAUUAGAUACCCUGGUAGUCCACGCCCUAAAGCGAUGCUCAACUAGUUGUUGGGAUUCAUUUCCUUAGUAACGUAGCUAACGCGUGAAGUUGACCGCCUGGGGAGUACGGUCGCAACGAUUAAAAGCUUAAAGGGAAUUGAC
rnacentral:rRNA from 1 species